rnacentral:rRNA from 1 species
AACGGCCAUACCAUGCUGAAUAUACCGGUUCUCGUUAGAUCACCGAAGUCAAGCAUCAUUGGGCGUGGUCAGUACUUGGGUGGGUGACCACCUGGGAACACCGCGC